GCUCUUAAGGGCAGUUUGCCUGGGCUGGAAGAAUGGGUACAUUAGAUGUAUUCCAAACAGCCAGCUUGGGCAUGAAUACACUGCCCCAUCAGCUUUCUGGGAACUGGCACAAUAAAAUCACUUCCUGAAGUUAGAAGGUAGAGAGAACUCCAACAAGGGUAUAAAUAGUGCACAGAGUAGUUCUGCUAAAACGACAGGAUCCAGAGACACUCUCAGUCUUGGAAAUCCUACCAACAAGGAUUCAGGAAGGAUUCGCCCUCAGGCUGAUUCUGGACCAAAACAAACAGAACAUUCCACCUGGCAGCAGCCAAGUCCCCAGCACUAUUGUGCCAAGGAGACUCUUUGAUUUGCCUCAAGCCCAGAGAAUAAACUACGAUUCCAGGGGACAGCUGACUCCAGCCCAUCUACCAUGCUCCAGUAGAGACCUUCAGGUGACCCAGGUCAACACCAAGCCACCCUCUGGAGGAUCUGAUGCUGCCUCAGAAACAACACCUCAUGCCUCAUCAGAUACUAAUGGAAAUGUUGAAAGGCUUUUAUAAAACUCCAGGGAAGUGGUUUGAGGAACAUUGAGAAAGAACAUAUUGUUCCAGCAGGAAACUGAGUGCAAGGCAGACACUAUGGCAAAAUUCCAGUUACACCAGAAUUAUCCUCACAGUACUUUACAAAAUCCUGUCUGGGAAUCUCCACUCUUUCCUCACUGUCGCCCAUGCAACUAUACCAUCAUCUAGAUGACUUAGGGAGAUUCUCCACGUGGUAGAGACUAAUCUGGAGGCAAGAAGUCCAGGAUCAAGGUUCUGGCCAAUUCGGUGUCUGGGAGGGCUCUCCUCCUGGCUUUCAGAAGGCUGUCUUCCCACUGUGUCCUUACACGGCAGAGAAAGUGUGAGCUCUCUGGUAUCUCUUCUUUUAAAGACACUAAUUGUAUCACAUCAAGGACCCACCUUUAAGAUCUCAUUUAGCCUUAAUAACUUCCUUAAAGGCCCCAUCUGUAAAUUCUGCUGCAUUGGUGACUGGGGCUUCAACCUAAGAGUUUUGGUGGGACAUAAAAUCUCAGUCCAUAACACCUGGCAAACUCUCUUAAUCUUCUAAGAUAUAAUUCAAACCUUGUUUCCUUUGGAAAGCCUCCCUAGCCCCUAAACUAUAAUUAGAUGUUUUCUCCUCAAUCUUCAUAUUAGUUCCUAUCAUGCAGUAUUAAUUACAUUGAACAAUAAUUAAGUACAUGUUUGUUCCCCUCAUUAGACUACAGGACAUUUGCAUUACUCUGUUUUCACAUUGCUGAUAAAGACAUACCUGACACUGGGUAAUUUAUAAAGAAAAAUAGGUUUAAUGGACUCACAAUUCCACGUUAUUGGGGAGGCCUCAAUCAUGGCAGAAGAUGAAAGGCACGUUCUUACAUGGCAGCAGGCAAGAGAGAGAAUGAGAACCAAGUGAAAGGGGUUUCUCCUUGUAAAACCAUCAGAUCUCUUGAGACUUAUUCACUACCAUGAGAACAGUAUAGAGGAAACCGCCCCCAUGAUUCAAUUAUCUCCCACCAGGUCCCUCCCCCAACACAUAGGAAUUAUGGAAGCUACAAUUCAAGAUGAGAUUUGGAUGGGGACACAGCCAAACCAUAACAACAUUGAAAAUCAGGGACAGUAGUUUGUUUGCUUUUUAUCCCUAACACCUAGGACAGUGCCUGGCACAAAGUUGGUGUUUAACAAAUACUUAAGGAAAGAGGAAAAGAAACAUUACACCUCUAGAAGAAAGUGUAAAUUUUCCAAACAAUUGAAUUACAAAUGAAUGCCAGAAUAUCCAUCAUCCACUGAAUUUGUGUCAAUGAUAUAUAAAUUCAACUUCCAGAUGUAGUGGUUAAGAGUGUCUGGGUUAAUAGAAUACUAUGCAGUCAUAAAAAUAAUGAACUCAUGUUGUAUGCAGCAACAAGGAUGCAGUUGGAGGCUGUUUUCCUAAGUGAAUAAACACAUAAACAGAAAACCAAAUACCACGUGUUCUCACUAAUAAGUGGGAGCUAAACAUUGGAUACACAUGAACAUAAAGAUGAGAAUAAUAGACACUGGGAAUGGCAAAAAAGGGAAGGGGGAGUCCAAGGGUUGAAAAACUACCUAUUGGGUAGUAUGUUCACUAUCUGGGUGACAGGAUCAAUAGAAGCCCAAACCUCAGCAUCAUGCAACAUACCCUUGUAAUAAACCUGCACAUGUACCUCUUGAAUCUAAAAUAAAAUAAACUGGGGGGGAAGGGGAAGAGGAGAGGUGGGGAUGGUUAAUGGGUACAAAAAAAUAGAAAGAAUGAAUAAGACCUACUAUUUGAUAGCACAAUGGGGUGACUGUAGUCAAUAAUAACUUAAUUGUACAUUUAAAAAUAACUAAAACAGUAUAAUUGGAUUGUUCAUAAUACAAAGGAUAAGUGCUUGAGGGAAUGGAUAACCCAUUCAUUCUCCAUGAUGUGAUUAUUAUGCAUUGCAUGCCUGUAUCAAAACAUCACAUGUACGUCAUAA
rnacentral:lncRNA from 10 species